AGGCAAAAGAUGUCCAAUCAAUACAUGGCGACAUAUGUUCUGAAAUGGAAUCUCAGGAACCAGCCAAUUCAGAAAAUUUUGAGGUACUUCCAGAAACUGAACAUGAGCAAUACACAGAUUCAGCAGAGAUUGAAGAUGUGAAUGAAUAUCCAGAAGCUGAACCAGAGGAAAGCAAUAAUUCUUUUGACCAUGAGAGGACUAACAGUUCAGAUGAGGAAUCUGAGGUGUGUAGAAUGAAGUGUUUACCCAGAAAUUAAAUAUCUAUUAUUCAACCUCAUAUUGUUCAUUUUUAUCAUCAAUGGAACACAAAAGGAUAUUACAAAAAGAUUAUCAAGUUUACAAGAGCUUGCUCUAUUUAAUUAAUUUAGUUAGUUAUUCAGAUUAAUGCUUCUUUCUGUCAUAUGAUUGAAGCUACAGUGACAUUGAGCUCUCAAGUAUGAGUUCCAAAAAUUGAAUGAUAAGUUUUCCAUUUGACAUUAAAAAAUUUUGUUGCUGGCCAACAUCUCAGGAAAUUAUAAAGUUUACGUGAUUUUUGACAAACUGAAAAAAUAAUCUCAUUUUGAUGUUAAUUUUGCACUGUAAUAUUUUGGGCUAAGUGUAGUAUAUGCUGUAUAUUAAUAACAAAGCAGUUAUCUCAAAUGAA